rnacentral:rRNA from 1 species
CCUACGGGAGGCUGCAGUGGGGGAUAUUGCACAAUGGAGGAAACUCUGAUGCAGCGACGCCGCGGGAGGGAAGAAGGUUUUCGGAUUGUAAACCUCUGUCUUCGGUGACGAAAAUGACGGUAGCCGAGGAGGAAGCCACGGCUAACUACGUGCCAGCAGCCGCGGUAAUACGUAGGUGGCAAGCGUUGUCCGGAAUUACUGGGUGUAAAGGGAGCGUAGGCGGGAGUGCAAGUCGGCUGUCUAAACUAUGGGCUCAACCCAUAAUCGCGGCCGAAACUGUACUUCUUGAGUGAAGUAGAGGUAAGCGGAAUUCCUAGUGUAGCGGUGAAAUGCGUAAAUAUUAGGAGGAACACCAGUGGCGAAGGCGGCUUACUGGGCUUUAACUGACGCUGAGGUUCGAAAGCAUGGGUAGCGAACAGGAUUAGAUACCCUGGUAGUC